rnacentral:snoRNA from 12 species
ACACUCGCUGGGGCCUGGUCCUCUCCAUGUGGUCCUGACCUACCCCCCGUGAGGGAGAGAAACAGGGCUGGUUUGGGGGUGUCCCACCCCAGUGGACAUGGGAGACCACGGUUUCCAGCACAACA